rnacentral:pre_miRNA from 1 species
AGAGGAAUUGCCUGGGAAUCUUGUUACAACGCAGAUUUUGAUUCACUAAUUUCUGGAGUGGGGCUAAGACUCUGCAUUUCUAAUAAGCUUCCAGAUGAUUAAAAU